UGCCGAGUAGCUAAGUGCGGAAGAGAUAACCGCUGAAAGCAUCUAAGCGGGAAACUCGUCUCAAGAUGAGUCUUGCCGGGGCCUUGAGCCCCCUGAAGAGUCGUUCGAGACCAGGACGUUGAUAGGCCGGGUGUGGAAGCGCGGUAACGCGUUAAGCUGACCGGUACUAAUUGCUCGUGAGGCUUGACCCU
rnacentral:rRNA from 1 species